GGGGAGCGUUCUGUAAGCCUGUGAAGGUGUGUCGUGAGGCAUGCUGGAGGUAUCAGAAGUGCGAAUGCUGACAUAAGUAACGAUAAAGCGGGUGAAAAGCCCGCUCGCCGGAAGACCAAGGGUUCCUGUCCAACGUUAAUCGGGGCAGGGUGAGUCGACCCCUAAGGCGAGGCCGAAAGGCGUAGUCGAUGGGAAACGGGUUAAUAUUCCCGUACUUGGUGUUACUGCGAAGGGGGGACGGAGAAGGCUAUGUUGGCCGGGCGACGGUUGUCCCGGUUUAAGCGUGUAGGUGUGUGUUCCAGGUAAAUCCGGUUCACUUUAACACUGAGGCGUGACGACGAGGCACUACGGUGCUGAAGCAACAAAUGCCCUGCUUCCAGGAAAAGCCUCUAAGCAUCAGGUAACAUCAAAUCGUACCCCAAACCGACACAGGUGGUCAGGUAGA
rnacentral:rRNA from 1 species